UACAGAGGGGGCAAGCGUUGUUCGGAAUUACUGGGCGUAAAGGGCGCGUAGGCGGCCUGCUAAGUCGAACGUGAAAUCCCUGGGCUCAACCCAGGAACUGCGUCCGAUACUGGUUGGCUUGAAUCCGGGAGAGGGACGUGGAAUUCCAGGUGUAGCGGUGAAAUGCGUAGAUAUCUGGAGGAACACCGGUGGCGAAGGCGACGUCCUGGACCGGCAUUGACGCUGAGGCGCGAAAGCCAGGGGAGCAACGG
rnacentral:rRNA from 1 species